GAACAGGAUCUUGGUUUUAUGGAUUCUGUUUCUAAUUGAUUUCAGACUUAAUAUUAUUUCCUGUUGUCUGCUUCUCUUUAGUGUAUUUUCUUAUUUUUGAUCUGGGUUUUUCAUUGUGCUUUUAAGUUGCUAGUAUAGGAUAUCACAUUUAUCUUUGUGAAGACAAUUAGUGCUCAUAUUUUAUUUUAUGUAUGCAGUGUGAAAUAUUUAAAUUGCUUAAUAUGAAGCUAGAGGAGUGAAGUAGGAUUCUUUUUUUUUUUCUUUUCUUUUUUUUUGGAGCUGGGGACUGAACCCAGGGCCUUGUGCUUGCUAGGCAAGCACUCUACCACUGAGCUAAAUCCCCAACCCCGGUGAAGUAGGAUUCUUAUGAUGUAAAAAUAUUAUUGGUAUUAAUACUCCAACAGGCCUGUCUUAAAAGGGUUAGAGAAGAAUACAGCAAAAGUCCCCCUACACAGUGCAUUCUUAGGUCUAUAUUCUCUAAACAAAGUGAUACACUGAAAAUUUUCUCCUCAUUAUUUUUAUAGUUCUCAGCUUAAUUUAUUAUAGUAUCCCUGUAAGGGUUCUUAUGUACUAGUAUGUACAGUCUACAUUAUCCUGAAAAAGGAGAAGGAGGAGGAGGAGGAGGGGAUGCGGAAGGGGAGGGAAGGGGGAGGGGAAGGAGGAGAAAGAGGUGGAGUGGGAGGAGGAGGACAAGGAGAAGAAAUGCAGCAAAGCAUUCUAAAUUGUAUCAGAAGGGUUGCCUAUAUUCAGUUACAGUAGUUACAAUUCAUGUUUUUUUUUUCUCAUAAGGCAUGAGUAUCCGCAUGACUUUAGAAUGAUAAAUAUUCAAAAGAACUUCAGUUCCCGGGACUUAAGAAAUUUUACAGCUUUUCCUUCCCUACCUGGGGUAAUCAUGAAAUGCCUAAAUGCUGAUGUACAUGGGAAAUUCAUCUUGAAGCCCAGAAACUCAGCAAGAAGCCAGCAGCAAAAGAAUAUGAAGGAAAAAACUUUUAAGAAACAAAGAACUUCUAUAACAUCGCAGUUGGACAGGGGCUCUGUGCCCCACCAGGACCAAGUAUGCACCACCCCACCAUUUAAAAAGGGAAGAAAACUGUUUGGAAGAGAACUCAGUUCCAUUUGUGAGGAUGGCAUCCUGCCUGCAGCAAUUCUGGUAUGUCUCAUAUGGUGUUUCUCUGGCUAUCCUAA
rnacentral:lncRNA from 1 species